rnacentral:lncRNA from 1 species
AUUUACUUGGCUCAGAGUCAGUGGCCCAGUAAAGAUUCAAAGAGUGAGCUCUGCAAAUACCUGGGGGAAGAGAAUCCAGGUGGAGGAAGGGCAAGGGUGAUGGCAUGGGUGCUCCGUGCAAAGUCCUGGCUCUGCUCCCCGGAGCUUUGACCUUGGGCCGGUUUUUUACAUCUCAGCAUCUGAGUCUCCCCUCACCUUCUCAUGGGGAGUGCCACUGCCUGUCCCUAGGGGGUAGGUGGUGAGGAGU